AUUGAACGCUGGCGGCAUGCCUUACACAUGCAAGUCGAACGGUAACAGGUUAAGCUGACGAGUGGCGAACGGGUGAGUAAUAUAUCGGAACGUGCCCAGUCGUGGGGGAUAACGUAGCGAAAGCUACGCUAAUACCGCAUACGAUCUACGGAUGAAAGCGGGGGAUCGCAAGACCUCGCGCGAUUGGAGCGGCCGAUAUCAGAUUAGGUUGUUGGUGAGGUAAAAGCUCACCAAGCCUGCGAUCUGUAGCUGGUCUGAGAGGACGACCAGCCACACUGGAACUGAGACACGGUCCAGACUCCUACGGGAGGCAGCAGUGGGGAAUUUUGGACAAUGGACGCAAGUCUGAUCCAGCAAUGCCGCGUGCAGGACGAAGGCCUUCGGGUUGUAAACUGCUUUUGUACGGAACGAAACGGUGAGCUCUAAUACAGUUUGCUAAUGACGGUACCGUAAGAAUAAGCACCGGCUAACUACGUGCCAGCCGCCGCCGUAA
rnacentral:rRNA from 1 species